GAGUUUCGCCAUGGACCGGGGCCCCAAAAAGCACUUGAAGCGUGUUGCAGCGCUGAAGCAUUGGAUGCUCGACAAACUAAUGGGUGUAUUUGCACCUCGUCCAUCGACAGGUCCUCACAGGCUGAGGGAAUGUCUUCCCCUGACCGUCUUCCUCAGGAACAGACUCAAGUAUGCGUUGACGGGAGAUGAGGUAAAAAAAAGACAUGUAUGCAACGCUGCAUCAGAAUUGAUGGCAAGGUUCGAGUGGACAUCACAUACCCUGUUGGAUUGAUGGAUGUCAUCAGCAUCGAGAAGACAGGUGAGCAUUUCCACCUGGUCUAUGACACCAAGGGCCAUUUUGCCGUUCAUCACAUCAGAGUGGAAGAGGCAGAGUACAAGUUGUGCAAAGUGAGGAAGAUUACUAUGGGGAUAAAGGAAAUCCCACACCUGGUGACUCAUGAUGCUUGAACCAUCCGCUAUCCAGAUCCUGUCAAGGUGAACGAUACUGUGCAGAUUGAUUUAGGGACUGGCAAGAUAAUCAACAUUAUCAAAUUUGACAUGGGCAAUAUGUGUAUGGUGAUUGGUGGAGCCAACUUCGGUCGUAUUGGCGUGAUCACCAGCAAGGAAAGACAUCCUGGUUCUUUUGACGUGGUGCAUGUGAAGGAUGCCAAAGGCAACAACUUUGCCCCAAGGAUUUCCAACAUUUUUGUCAUUGGCAGUGGCAAUAAACCUUGGAUUUCCCUGCCCAGGGGAAAGGGCGUCUGACUUACUAUUGCUGAAGAGAGAGACAAGAGGCUGGUGACUAAAUUGCAAACAGAGCAGUGA